rnacentral:rRNA from 1 species
UACGUAGGGUGCAAGCGUUGUCCGGAAUUAUUGGGCGUAAAGAGCUCGUAGGCGGUCUGUCGCGUCGAAUGUGAAACCCGGGCUCAACCCCGGGCCUGCAUUCGAUACGGGCAGACUAGAGUUCGGUAGGGGAGUCUGGAAUUCCUGGUGUAGCGGUGAAAUGCGCAGAUAUCAGGAGGAACACCGGUGGCGAAGGCGGGACUCUGGGCCGAUACUGACGCUGAGGAGCGAAAGCGUGGGGAGCAAACAGG